rnacentral:sRNA from 1 species
CAGCCCCGGUGGCCGAAUGGGUAAUGCGGCCACCUGGUAGCGCCUUGGCGUGGGGACCCAAGGCGCGUGGGUUCGAAACCCGCAGGGGACAACAUUACAUCCGGAGCCAACUUCUCAGCUCCUAAAAUAAUGAGAUGUGAACUUGCCAAGUAGGUACCUUCGGGCGGACCUACUACCUGAUUUAGCUGAUUUUUCCUGGGCUGGGAACCUGUAUUGCAUGUACCAAUCCUGUCUUUCAUUAAUUUUCCUAUAUUCCUGUUAUAUUCUUGGCGUCGUUCAACACUAAGCAUUCCUCCUGUAUAAUCAACUCUUGCCUGUAUUUAACAUCACACAAGGACUCGUCAUAAGCACUGCUUGCAUACGAGUAUAACGGAAGAAUAAUAAUAAUAUAAUAAUAAUCUAUAUCAUUCAGUAAAAAAUAUAAAAAGUUGAG